rnacentral:rRNA from 1 species
GUAACCUCUUUUAGUAGGAAGAAGCGAAAGUGACGGUACCUGCAGAAAAAGCACCGGCUAACUACGUGCCAGCAGCCGCGGUAAUACGUAGGGUGCAAGCGUUAUCCGGAAUUAUUGGGCGUAAAGAGCUCGUAGGCGGUUUGUCGCGUCUGCUGUGAAAACUAGAGGCUCAACCUCUAGCUUGCAGUGGGUACGGGCAGACUAGAGUGCGGUAGGGGAGAUUGGAAUUCCUGGUGUAGCGGUGGAAUGCGCAGAUAUCAGGAGGAACACCGAUGGCGAAGGCAGAUCUUUGGGCCGUAACUGACGCUGAGGAGCGAAAGAGUGGGGAGCAAACAGGCUUAGAUACCCUGGUAGUCCACUCCGUAAACGUUGGGAACUAGUUGUGGGGGCCUUUCUACGGUCUCCGUGACGCAGCUAACGCAUUAAGUUCCCCGCCUGGGGAGUACGGCCGCAAGGCUAAAACUCAAAGGAAUUGACGGGGACCCGCACAAGCGGCGGAGCAUGCGGAUUAAUUCGAUGCAACGCGAAGAACCUUACCAAGGCUUGACAUAUACCGGAAACGGCUGGAAACAGUCGCCCCCUUGUGGUCGGUAUACAGGUGGUGCAUGGUUGUCGUCAGCUCGUGUCGUGAGAUGUUGGGUUAAGUCCUGCAUCGAUGCGCAAGCCCUCGUUUUAUCUUGCCAGCACGUUAUGCUGGGGACUCAUCCAACACUGCCGGGGUCAACUCGGAGGAAGGCUGGGGAUGACGUCAAAUCAUCAUGGCCCGUAUGUCGUGGGCAUUCACGCAUGCUACAAUCACCGGUACAAUGGGGAUCGAUACUUAGAGGUGGAGCGAAUCCCCAAAA